rnacentral:rRNA from 1 species
GUCUUCUUGUUAUAUUUAGGAAGUCUGGCCUGCCCAGUGAAAAUAAUUUAACGGCCGCGGUAUACUGACCGUGCAAAGGUAGCAUAAUCAUUAGUCUUUUAAUAGAGGGCUGGUAUGAAGGGUUUAACGAGGUGUUGACUGUCUCAUUUAAUUUGAACUUAGAACUUAAUUUUUUAGUUAAAAAGCUAAAAUUUUAUUGGAAGACGAGAAGACCCUAUAGAGCUUUAUAUUUUUACUAUUAAUUUAUUAUAGAUUAUUAUUAUUUAUUAUUGAUAUAAAAUAUUUUGUUGGGGUGACAAAAAUAUAUAAAUAACUUUUUUAUUUCAUUUACAUUGCUAUAUGAAUAUUAGAUCCAAUCUUAUUGAUUGUUAGAUUAAGUUACCUUAGGGAUAACAGCGUAAUCCCUCUCCAGAGUUCAUAUUUACAGAGGGGCUUGCGACCUCGAUGUUGGAUUAAGAUAAUAAUUAGGUGUAGCCGCUUAAUUAAUAGGUCUGUUCGACCUUUAAAUUCUU